AGCAGCCGCGGUAAUUCCAGCUCCAAUAGCGUAUAUUAAAGUUGCUGCAGUUAAAAAGCUCGUAGUUGAAUUUCGGGACUAAUAUGUCGGUCGUGCCUCGGUACGUACUGGUUUAUUGGUUUCUCCUUUCUGAAGAACCAUGAUGUCAUUUAUUUGGUGUCGUGGGGAAUCAGGACUGUUACUUUGAAAAAAUUAGAAGUGUUUAAAGCAGGCUCACGCUUGAAUACAUUAGCAUGGAAUAAUGAAAUAGGACGUUUGAUUCUAUUUUGUUGGUUUCUAGGAUCGACGUAAUGAUUAAUAGGGAUAGUUGGGGGCAUUAGUAUUCAAUUGUCAGAGGUGAAAUUCUUGGAUUUAUUGAAGACUAACUACUGCGAAAGCAUUUGCCAAGGAUGUUUCAUUAAUCAAGAACGAAAGUUAGGGGAUCGAAGACGAUCAGAUACCGUCGUAGUCUUAACCAUAAACUAUGCCGACUAGGGAUCGGAUGAUGUUAAUUUUUUAAUGUACUCAUUCGGCGCCUUAC
rnacentral:rRNA from 1 species